rnacentral:rRNA from 1 species
CUACGGGGGGCAGCAGUGGGGAAUAUUGGACAAUGGGGGCAACCCUGAUCCAGCCAUGCCGCGUGUGUGAAGAAGGCCCUCGGGUUGUAAAGCACUUUCAGUGAGGAAGAACGCCUGGUGGUUAAUACCCAUCAGGAAAGACAUCACUCACAGAAGAAGCACCGGCUAACUCCGUGCCAGCAGCCGCGGUAAUACGGAGGGUGCGAGCGUUAAUCGGAAUUACUGGGCGUAAAGCGCGCGUAGGUGGCUUGAUAAGCCGGUUGUGAAAGCCCCGGGCUCAACCUGGGAACGGCAUCCGGAACUGUCAAGCUAGAGUGCAGGAGAGGAAGGUAGAAUUCCCGGUGUAGCGGUGAAAUGCGUAGAGAUCGGGAGGAAUACCAGUGGCGAAGGCGGCCUUCUGGACUGACACUGACACUGAGGUGCGAAAGCGUGGGUAGCAAACAGGAUUAGAUACCCGUGUAGUC